rnacentral:rRNA from 1 species
UACAGAGGUCUCAAGCGUUGUUCGGAUUCAUUGGGCGUAAAGGGUGCGUAGGCGGUCGUGCAAGUCGGAUGUGAAAUCUCAGGGCUCAACCCUGAAACUGCAUUCGAUACUGCGCGGCUAGAGUGCUGGAGGGGAGACUGGAAUUUACGGUGUAGCAGUGAAAUGCGUAGAUAUCGUAAGGAAGACCAGUGGCGAAGGCGGGUCUCUGGGCCGAAAUUGACGCUGAGGAGCGAAAGCGUGGGGAGCAAACAGG